AAUUUUAAUGCUAUAGGCUAUGUAGGAACAUUGCAUGUUAUUUCUCAAUACUGCACCAUUAUUUCGCAAUAUUGCAUCAUGUCAUGUACUCGUGACAAACUAUCCAUUAUUUUAACAAGGCCAGCAUUCAAAGCUAUAAGCUGCGCCGAAAGUAUUUUAUCAGAUGUUGAUGAACGAGCUAUGUGCACGCGAUGGUGACGCAGGAGCAAAAAAUAGCCAGCAAAUCACCUUCUAAAAUGGCAACGAUGGCGAUCUCCGGCGAAGUUACCGGAACGGUCGAGCGCCCCGAGCCAGGGUACGGUCAGCUACGUUCAUUGGACAAUCAAUGAUCAGGCAACGCCCAAAAGAGAAGCGAGCGCAGAUGACGAAAGCAUGUGACGUCAGCUACAAAAAACUAUAAAAGGUUCGAUGUCCGAACCUUGAUUUCAUGCAGUCUCAACAAAGACCAACCAGAGUUCAUCAGUCAAGGAGAACUUAUAUCCUAACCACUGCCUAUACAAGUGGUUAGGCGUUCGAGUUUCUUAUCGUGAUUGUAUAUUGCAUCAGUAUCGCCCUUGCGUUAAUAACCGUGGUAAUAAAUAAUCAACAAACCA